UACAGAGGUCCCAAGCGUUGUUCGGAUUCAUUGGGCGUAAAGGGUGCGUAGGCGGUGAUGUAAGUUGGAUGUGAAAUCCCGGGGCUUAACCCCGGAACUGCAUUCAAUACUGCAUUGCUAGAGUACUGGAGAGGAGAUUGGAAUUCACGGUGUAGCAGUGAAAUGCGUAGAUAUCGUGAGGAAGACCAGUGGCGAAGGCGAAUCUCUGGACAGUUACUGACGCUGAGGCACGAAGGCUAGGGGAGCAAACGGG
rnacentral:rRNA from 1 species